rnacentral:lncRNA from 1 species
CUAAUAUGGGGAAAUGUGCUGGAUCCUGAUUGGUGAAAUGGUUGUUGGAGAGACGAGAGGUGUAGUGGAGGAAGACAACACAUGUCAUUCCCAUAGUUUAAAGGCAUGUUAUAUGCCAGAAAGAAAGCUGGAUGAGACAGGGAGGUAAAGGAAACCACAGUGGAUCUGCAUGAUUUCCAGACUUCAUUGGCUAUGUCAUGUUUGGGUUCCAUGACAGGGUUCCAUGACGCCUGGGAUGGUGAUGGUAGUGGUGAUGUUGAGAAGGCGAUGUCUCAUUGAAUCUAUCACACCACAAAUCCUCACUUCUCAUCACCUAUAAAGUCUCUAUGAAAGCCUGGAAGAUAAACAGACACCCUCAGGAACUUAUUCAAUGUAUUUCUUGGAUUCCAGAUUCAACUCCUUCUUUGACCCUGGACCUGUGCUGACUGGAAGCCUCGAGAUGAGAUGAGAAAAUCGAGGCUCAGAAAAGUCCCAUGACUUGUCCAAGGCCAUGAAGCUAGUUCACAGAGAGGCACAGAAUCAGCUAUGGAAGCACUUGAGAGAAUACCAAUACCAUUUUGUGGCCUGGAGAGAUCGGCACCCUCACUAUUUUUGUCCCUGCUAGCCAUCAGCCUCUGGCUUCCCUGUUAUCCUGUUGCCCCCACAGAAUGCAGCUACUACGUGGCUUAAGAGCCAGCACCUCCAUGAAGUGGUGAAGACAUCUACACCAUAAUUACCGGUGUUUUUAACCAGAAAAACCACCCAUUAACUCUAUCAAGAGGAACAUCCAGUCAACAUGCCACCACAUCCCAAAAACCUGCCGAGGAACUUGUCACAAGCUCAAGUCCCAAGAUCAUCUGGAUAUCAAGAAUCACUUCUUUAUAUUUCCACAAAUGCUAGUUUGACUGUGCUUGUAGUCCAUGAUACUUGGGAGGCUGAGGUGGGAGAAUUACUUGAGUCAAAUAACCGAGUUUACCAUCCUGAACAACAUAGUGUGACCCCAUCUCAAAUCAAACCCAACCUAACACCAGAAAAGAAAUUCACAGACUUUCUAGGGAGCUUGCUGAGGAAAAACGAUUGUAUUGUUAAAUGUUAA